AUGGGUCAUAAAAAAUCAUCUAUAAAUAGGAAAGAUCUUUCACUAUCACGGCAUAAUAAUUAGAUUGUUUGCUAAGGUGAGAAAGAGAAAAAGAGAAGGCGUAAAGUAGUAGUGGGCAUCCCCUUCCCUCUUGGCAUGAGCUCUCUUGGGCGUCCCACCUCUCCAUGGCAUUAAGGCUUAUUGGGCAUCCUUCUUGUUGGUGUGAGGCAUCACAUCAAGAGCCUCUCUCCCCUCC
rnacentral:lncRNA from 1 species